rnacentral:rRNA from 1 species
CUACCAGACUCCUACGGGAGGCAGCAGUGGGGGAUAUUGCACAAUGGGGGGAACCCUGAUGCAGCGACGCCGCGUGGGUGAAGGAGUAUUUCGGUAUGUAAAGCCCUGUCAGCAGGGAAGAACAAAGACAGUACCUGACCAAGAAGCCCCGGCUAACUACGUGCCAGCAGCCGCGGUAAUACGUAGGGGGCAAGCGUUAUCCGGAUUCACUGGGCGUAAAGGGAGCGCAGGCGGCACGGCAAGUCUGGUGUGAAAGCCCGGGGCCCAACCCCGGGACUGCAUUGGAAACUGCCGGGCUGGAGUGCCGGAGGGGUAAGCGGAAUUCCUGGUGUAGCGGUGAAAUGCGCAGAUAUCAGGAAGAACACCGGUGGCGUAGGCGGCUUACUGGACGGCAACUGACGCUGAGGCUCGAAAGCGUGGGGAGCAAACAGGAUUAGAUACCCCCGUAC